rnacentral:lncRNA from 7 species
CUUCAGAAUUUCCCAUUUAGUCCGAAAAUCACCCAUUUUCUCUUCAAAAUUCCCUCAUUUAAUUCGAAAAUCACCCAUUUUCCCUUCAAAAAUCCCCAAUUAUUUGGAAAAUCACGCAUUUUCUCCUCAAAAACCCCCCAUUUAAGGGUAAAUCAUGCAUUUUCUCUUCGAAAAUCCAACAUUUAGCUAAAAAAUCACGCAUUUAAGCGGAAAUCACCCGUUUUCUCUUCGAAAAUCUCCCAUUUAACCCAAAAAUCACCCAUUUUCCCUUCAAAAAUCCCAGAUUUAACUCGAAAAUCACCCAUUUUCCCUUCAAAAAUCCCCAAUUACUUGGAAAAUCACCCGUUUUCUCCUCAAAAACCCCCCAUUUAAGGGAAAAUCACCCAUUUUCCCUUCAAAAAUCCCAGAUUUAACUUGAAAAUCACCCAUUUUCCCGACAAAAAUGCCCCAUUUAAGCAAAAAUCACCCAUUUUCUUUUCGAUAAUCCCACCUUUAAGUGAAAAUCACCCCUUUUCUCUUCAAAAAUCCCCCAUUUAAGUGAAAAUCACCCCUUUUCUCUUCGAAAACUUCCCAUUUUACCCCAAAUCACCCAUUUUCUCCUCGAAAAUCCCCCAUUUAAGGGUAAAUCAUGCAUUUUCUCCUCAAAAAUCCCCCAUUUAAGGGUAAAUCAUGCAUUUAAGAAAAAAUCACCAAUUUUCUCUUCGAAAAUCCCCCAUUUUACCCCCAAAUCACACAUUUUCUCUUCGAAAAUCCCCCAUUUAACCCGAAAAUCACCCAUUUUCCCUUCAAAAAUCCCAGAUUUAACUCGAAAAUCACCCAUUUUCCCUUCAAAAAUCCCCAAUUAUUUGGAAAAUCACCCAUUUUCCCUUCAAAAAUCCCAGAUUUAACUCGAAAAUCACUCGUUUUCCCGACGAAAAUGCCCCAUUUAAGCAAAAAUCACCCAUUUUCUCUUCGAUAAUCCCACCUUUAAGUGAAAAUCACCCCUUUUCUCUUAAAAAAAUCCCCCAUUUAAGUGAAAAUCACCCCUUUUCUCGACGAAAACUUCCCAUUUUACCCCAAAAUCACACAUUUUCUCCUCGAAAAUCCCCCAUUUUACCCCCAAAUCACACAUUUUCUCCUCGAAAAUCCCCCAUUGAAGGGUAAAUCAUGCAUUUUCUCUUCGAAAAUCCAACAUUUAGCUAAAAAAUCACGCAUUUAAGCAGAAAUCACCCGUUUUCUCUUCAAAAAUCUCCCAUUUAACCCAAAAAUCACCCAUUUUCCCUUCAAAAAUCCCAGAUUUAACUCGAAAAUCACCCAUUUUCCCUUCAGAAAUCCCCAAUUAUUUGGAAAAUCACGCAUUUUCACCUCAAAAACCCCCCAUUUAAGGGUAAAUAAUGCAUUUUCUCUUCGAAAAUCCAACAUUUAGCUAAAAAAUCACGCAAUUAAGCAAAAUCACCGUUUUCUCUUCAAAAUCUCCCAUUUAACCCAAAAAUCACCCAUUUUCCCUUCAAAAAUCCCAGAUUUAACUCAAAAAUCACCCAUUUUCCCUUCAAAAAUCCCCAAUUAUUUGGAAAAUCACGCAUUUUCUCCUCAAAAACCCCCACUUCAGGGAAAAUCACCCAUUUUCCCUUCAAAAAUCCCAGAUUUAACUCGAAAAUCACCCGUUUUCCCGAAAAAAUGCCCCAUUUAAGAAAAAAUCACCCAUUUUCUCUUCGAAAAUCCCACAUUUAAGUGAAAAUCACCCCUUUUCUCUUCGAAAACUUCCCAUUUUACCCCCAAAUCACGCAUUUUCUCCUCGAAAAUCCCCCAUUUAAGGGUAAAUCAUGCAUUUUCUCUUCGAAAAUCCAACAUUUAGCUAAAAAAUCACGCAUUUAAGCAGAAAUCACCCGUUUUCUCUUCAAAAAUCUCCCAUUUAACCCAAAAAUCACCCAUUUUCCCUUCAAAAAUCCCAGAUUUAACUCGAAAAUCACCCAUUUUCCCUUCAAAAAUCCCCAAUUAUUUGGAAAAUCACGCAUUUUCUCCUCAAAAACCCCCCAUUUAAGGGAAAAUCACCCCAUUUCCCUUCGAAAACCCAGAUUUAACUUGAAAAUCAUUUUCCCGACAAAAAUGCCCCAUUUAAGAAAAAAUCACCCAUUUUCUCUUCGAAAAUCCCACCUUUAAGUGAAAAUCACCCCUUUUCUCUUCAAAAAUCCCCAUUUAAGUGAAAUCACCCCUUUUCUCUUCGAAAACUUCCCAUUUUACCCCCAAAUCACCCAUUUUCUCCUCGAAAAUCCCCCAUUUAAGGUAAAUCAUGCAUUUCUCCUCAAAAAUCCCCAUUUAAGGGUAAAUCAUGCAUUAAGAAAAAAUCACCCAUUUUCUCUUCGAAAAUCCCCCAUUUUACCCCCAAAUCACACAUUUUCUCUUCGAAAAUCCCCCAUUUAACCCGAAAAUCACCCAUUUUCCCUUCAAAAAUCCCAGAUUUAACUCGAAAAUCACCCAUUUUUCCUUCAAAAAUCCCAAUUAUUGGAAAAUCACGCAUUUUCUCCUCAAAAACCCCCUUUUAAGGAAAAUCACCCAUUUUCCCUUCAAAAAUCCCAGAUUUAACUCGAAAAU